CAGUCGCCGCGGGAAUACGGAGGGUGCAAGCGUUAAUCGGAAUUACUGGGCGUAAAGCGCACGCAGGCGGUCUGACAAGUCAGAUGUGAAAUCCCCGGGCUUAACCUGGGAACUGCAUUUGAAACUGUCAGGCUGGAGUCUUGUAGAGGGGGGUAGAAUUCCAGGUGUAGCGGUGAAAUGCGUAGAGAUCUGGAGGAAUACCGGUGGCGAAGGCGGCCCCCUGGACAAAGACUGACGCUCAGGUGCGAAAGCGUGGGGAGCAAACAGGAUUAGAUACCCCUGUAGUCCCUGUCUCUUAUAA
rnacentral:rRNA from 1 species